AGGAUCAUUAACGAAUGAACGCGUCUCUUCGAAAGGGAGCGCGUAACNACACACACACCUGUGNCACCUGGCGGACGUCUAUCUAGGCGUUCACUACUACUACAACGAUGCCUGUCGACCGAGCAUGUCUAUAGAGGCUCUACGGAGCGCGAUAAAAUUAAUACAACUUUCAACANCGGAUCUCUUGGCUUUCGCAUCGAUGAAGAACGCCGCGAAAGUGCGAAACGUAAUGUGAAUUGCAGAAUUCAGUGAAUCAUCGAAUCUUUGAACGCAUCUUGCGCUCCUUGGUAUUCCGAGGAGCAUGCCUGUUUGAGUGUCGUGAAGUCUCUCGAGUCUCCGGUCUUGUUUUGACUUGGAGGGGUCGGAUUUGGACGUUUUGCCGUGUCUUCACGGCUCGUCUCGAAAUGCAUUAGCCCGUUUCUCACACGGAACAACGGUGUGAUAAGAAAAAAACUCNCUCGCGUCCGGAGGGGGAACGGCUCACAGUCGUCUUUUGAAGACAAACGCAACACGUCGUCUGACCUCA
rnacentral:rRNA from 1 species